UUAAGAUUCAAAACUUAAUAAUAGAUGUCUGCAGUGUCGUGUCGUCCUUAUUAUUGUUCACUUCGUGAAAUGAGGCGAAAUGGGCGAAACAAAUUGUUGCUAAUUUUUACUUAUAUUAUUGUUAUUCCUGUAAUUUCAAUUACCAAAUUGAACUUCCUAUCUUAUGCAGGUCUAUCUUGACCUAGUGUCCUUAUUUUUAUAUUAUACUAAUUUAUUCUUCAAGUUCUAGAUGCAUACUGUCAGUCUGUCAGUCAUUCCAUGGUCAUUAUUCUAACAAGUUUACUGAGGGCUCAGUCACUUUACAUCCAUUAGAUCCUCAUGCUGUCAAAAGCCAAAAACUCUUGUUUGAAGCCCACAUAUCGUGGAAUACAAAUGUGUGGAGAUAAGGUAUUUUCCCAUCACUGCUACCACACCAACCCAACCACGUCAAAUGCCUUACGUACUUCAUCACCCGUAUGAUCAAGCAUCAGGAAAUUUAUCUCAACUUGAAGAGUAAAGAUGUUGGUCGCUGUGAAUUCCGUUUUUACAGUAUUUUCAUCAUGAACAUUUCAGUGUGCUUCUUAGAAAAGAGCACGCUAGAUCCCCCAUCUAUGAGCUUGUUCCUGCAAUCCUGCCUCUGGUAUUUCUAUUCCUACAAAAGCUGAUUGUUGAGAUGACUGUGAAACUUUCCUGCCCAGAAGCCAGAAGCACAUCAUAAUAGUUCGUAGCUCUUCAUUUUUAUUAGUUAACCCGUUGGCUGCUACCGUUAGCUAAUCCAUGUUAGUGAAUUUCACAUGUGGUUGGGGUGUGGAAUCCUGGUGUUGCUGAAUACUAGCUCCGGUCAACAUUUUGUCUUCAUGGGGAUGCCUUUUGUUGCCAUACUUUCCCGCCAGAAGCCGUUCUUUAGUGAAAAGUUGGAGGGGUUUAAUCUAAAAAUCUUCAACACUAUGUGUUACGUCCCCUGAGAUUGCUAGUCCGCAGCCGAUGUCGGUCUAGUCUACAACGCAGUUUCUUUAUGGAAUCGUGUGGUCCUGGCACGGAGAUCCUUGAGCCAAUGCUGGCUUUUGUCCAUGAGAGAAGAGUGGCUUCCACCAACGUAUCUUCGCGACGUACGAUCAACCAGCUUCCCUGCUUCUUAUGCUAAUACAACUUGUCUUACUUCACUGGCGAGUUGGAUCACUUCAGUGUUCGCUUCCGGUACACCUGCAGUCACUCGCGACGGGAAUAUGCCCAGG